rnacentral:tRNA from 1 species
GUUUGAAUAGCUUAAUAAUUAAAGUAUUUCAUUGAAGAUGAAAUGAUGAUUUUCUUAAAAUCUUUAGACA